UACAGAGGGGGCAAGCGUUAUUCGGAAUUAUUGGGCGUAAAGAGCUCGUAGGCGGUUUGUCGCGUCUGCUGUGAAAACCCGAGGCUCAACCUCGGGCCUGCAGUGGGUACGGGCAGACUAGAGUGCGGUAGGGGAGAGUGGAAUUCCUGGUGUAGCGGUGGAAUGCGCAGAUAUCGAGAGGAACACCAGUGGCGAAGGCGAGUCCCUGGACAACACCUGACACUGAGGCACGAAAGCUAGGGGAGCAAACAGG
rnacentral:rRNA from 1 species